rnacentral:rRNA from 1 species
AACGAACGCUGGCGGUGUGCUUCACACAUGCAAGUCGAACGAGGUAGCAAUACCUAGUGGCGGACGGGUGAGUAACGCGUGGGAAUCUGCCUUUAGAUGGGGGAUAACGAGCCGAAAGGUUCGCUAAUACCGCAUAGGUCGCAAGAUUAAAGGAGUAAUCCGUCUAGAGAUGAGCCCGCGUCCGAUUAGCUAGUUGGUAGGGUAAAGGCCUACCAAGGCGACGAUCGGUAGCUGGUCUGAGAGGAUGAUCAGCCACACGGGCACUGAGACACGGGCCCGACUCCUACGGGAGGCAGCAGUAGGGAAUAUUGGACAAUGGGCGCAAGCCUGAUCCAGCCAUCCCGCGUGAAGGAUUAAGGCCCUCUGGGUUGUAAACUUCUUUUCUCUGGGAAUAAAAAGUGGGGUUCUCCCUACCUUGAAGGUACCAGAGGAAUAAGCACCGGCUAACUCCGUGCCAGCAGCCGCGGUAAGUGCGACGACA